UACCUGCAUUUAUGUUCUGAUUUCUCUCUCUCUCCCGGGGCCAUACCACUUUUCUUUUCUCACUCAAAGCAGCUCUGCUGUAAAGACAGGUAUAACUAAUAGCACUGGGCUUCGUCAAUGAAGCAGAGUUCAAUUUACCCUUUGCCGAGAUCGUACGGAAUCAGGCACAGGCAAGAAAUGUCGGGCUAAGAUUUAUGUGGGACUGUUUGUUUAAAUGGGUUCCCUACUUCCUUAUUUCCAUGGAGCGAGGAAGCUGCCGACAUCUGCUCUGUGCCUGAUACUGCCUCCAAUUCCACCAGCAGAAACUUCUCCCAAGAGACAGGAGCAGGUCUGAUACGAGAUGUGAUGCUUCUCUUGCCCAAGCUGUGGCAGCUCUGUCUCCUGCGGGAUGGCAUGCAGCUACGGGAGAACAAGGAGCAGGUCCAGGGAAAGCUGCCUGGGUUUGAAGCUGAAGAAAGACUCCAGCAAGCCGCAGAUCCACAGGGACUCUUCUACAUCCAGGCUUCAACUAGAGAGAAAUUCAGUUUUAUGCCUAAAAGUUAUGUGUUUUAUGCCUUUUGAAAUGUGUGCUAAAGCUCUUAUGUGUCACAUGCAGCUCCCUGCAUGGCUGUGCCAAUGUCCCGGGAUUUUACUGUGCAGAUACUCCUGCCUUCAGAUGGAAGGGGACGCUGAAACUAAUGGAAAAUAGGCUGACUUUAUACUAGCCCUGUAACAAAAUAAAUUGAGGGGAAUGUGUUAA